rnacentral:rRNA from 1 species
UACGGGGGGGGCAAGCGUUGUUCGGAAUUACUGGGCGUAAAGAGCUCGUAGGUGGUUUGUCGCGUUGUUCGUGAAAACUCACAGCUCAACUGUGGGCGUGCGGGCGAUACGGGCAGACUAGAGUACUGCAGGGGAGACUGGAAUUCCAGGUGUAGCGGUGAAAUGCGUAGAUAUCUGGAGGAAUACCGGUGGCGAAGGCGGCAUCCUGGACCGAGAUUGACACUGAGUGAGCGAAAGCCAGGGGAGCAAACGGG